UACGGAGGAGGCAAGCGUUAUCCGGAAUUAUUGGGCGUAAAGCGUCCGUAGGUGGCUAGUCAAGUCUGCGGUCAAAGACUGGGGCUUAACCCUGGAAAGGCCGUGGAAACUGACGAGCUAGAGUAUAGUAGGGGUAAAGGGAAUUUCCAGUGGAGCGGUGAAAUGCGUAGAGAUUGGAAAGAACACCGAUGGCGAAGGCACUUUACUGGGCUAUUACUAACACUCAGAGACGAAAGCUAGGGUAGCAAAUGGG
rnacentral:rRNA from 1 species